rnacentral:rRNA from 1 species
GCCGUUGUUUCUUGGAUCUCUUCUCUACUUGGAUAACUGUGGUAAUUCUAGAGCUAAUACAUGCANCUAAUCCCCGAUCGCAAGUGACGGGAGCACUUAUUAGACCAAAGCCAUCCGGCUUCGGCCGUACUUUGGUGACUCUGGAUAACAUCGCAGAUCGCAUGGGCUCGUCCCGGCGACAAAUCUUUCAAGUGUCUGCCUUAUCAACUUUCGAUGGUAGUUUCUGUGACUACCAUGGUUGUGACGGGUAACGGAGGAUCAGGGUCUGACUCCGGAGAGGGAGCCUGAGAAACGGCUACCACUUCUAAGGAAGGCAGCAGGCGCGCAAAUUACCCAUUCUCAGAACGAGGAGGUAGUGAAGAAAAUACCAAGAGGAGGCUCAUUGAGNNCCUCAUUGGAAUGAGUACAAUCUAAAUCUUUUAACGAGGAUCUAGUGGAGGGCAAGUCUGGUGCCAGCAGCCGCGGUAAUUCCAGCUCCGCAAGUGUAUUCCUAUACUGUUGCGGUUAAAAGCUCGUAGUUGGAUCUGAGUGCUUAGCGCCUGGUGCAUUCUGCUGCUGGGUGCGGACAUGAUUAGUCAUUGGUUGCUGUGAUGCCUCACGGGUGAUGGCGUGGACUGUUGACAGUUUACUUUGAACAAUCAGAGUGCUCAUACAGGCGUUUGCUUGAAUGGUGUGCAUGGAAAAUAGAAAAGACCUGGGUCUAUUUGUUGGUUUCGGAACAGAGGUAUGAUUAAGAGGGACAGACGGGGCAUUCGUAUUCAGCGUGAGAGGUGAAAUUUUGGAUCGUUGGAGGAACUACUGCGAUUGCCAAA